ACCCCGAUCCCAAGCACCAUGGAGCCGACGAUUUGGAUCAAGACCUACAUCCCAAGCACCAAGGUGCCUGGUUGAUAUGGUUCGCGAUCCCGAUCCGGAGCUCCAGGGCGCCGAGGAUUUCGAUCACGAUCCCGAUCUGAAGCACCGAGUAGCCGAGGAUAUGGUUAAAGACCCCGGUCCGAAGCGACAAGGAGGCAAGGAUUUGGAUCACCACUCCGAUCAAAGGCACCAAGGCGUCGAGGGAUUGGAUCGAGAUCCCGAUCCCAAUCAUGAAGUUGGCUACGUAAUUUCCUGUUUUCCACACCGUUCAGGGCAUUUUGGUGGUCGUAUCGGCUUUUAGUUGCUUGCUUGGUGUUAGUGCCAAGGGAGUGGUUGGAAGCUAGGUCGUCCUCUGGAAUGCUUGUUGUAAAGGUGUAUGAGUUGUGUUUGGCUUGUUACGGGUGUUUGUUGGCUGCUUGUGCAGGAACUUUCAUGCGUCCAAGCCUCUUCAGUUGUGCUACAAGGCCUUGUUUGUCUUGUGCAUACGGUGGGUUUCCUGUGUUGCAUACCUAAUCAAGGGCAUCGUAUGGCUUGAUCGAAGUAAAAAUUCGUAAUGCGCCGCUUGCGGCGUUGCACGAACCUCGAAGUGGUCUCUGUGGCCCAUGUUGUCUUUGCUCACGUAUGGAUGGCAUGGCCCUCGGAGCGUCGCUUGGUCUCUUGGAUACGGAACCUGAUGAUGUGGGCGGUAGGGUCUUGGAUGAUUCUACCUUCGC
rnacentral:misc_RNA from 1 species